rnacentral:tRNA from 1 species
AGAUACUUGACCGAGUGGCUUAAGGUGCUUCCCUGCUAAGGAAGUGAGUUUGAAAAAGCUCCGUAGGUUCGAAUCCUACAGUAUCUG